CGGGUUCUGCUCCUCUCGUGCGCAGGCUUUUUUCCAGUGGCCGAUAAGCAUUUCCGAGGGGGCUGGCUCUGCCGGGAUCCUGGUCCCGGUAUCUGGCACCCACCUGGUUAGUCCAGGCUCUCGGGAAAUCACGCCGGCACGGUUGCUGCGGUUCCCGC
rfam:Haematobacter massiliensis strain CCTG 47968 contig12_scaffold11, whole genome shotgun sequence.